AGCACUGGUUGCCAAAAGUGUCAACACGGUGUGCAGCUGCUCCAGAUUUUCACAAGUUAAAUUGAGAUUCAGUCAUAAAUCAUGCCGAAAACAUUAAAAAGUGGUGAAAGAAUGAUGGUGUUGAAAGUGAAAGACUUUUGUGAGCGUGAAAAACGUAACGAGGCCCCACUUAUUCCAUUCAGAUGUGUACAAGCUUGGGUCGCCGCCAUUACAGGAAUAUCUGAAAAGACCGUGACGAAAAUUACUAAAGAAGGUAAAGUGGCAGCUUCAACGUCGACUAAAGUGACUACUCCUCGCAAAAGUGGCCCACGACGAAAAACCCACGAACUGGACGAUUUUGAACUGUGCGCUAUAAGGCAUAUUUAUUCUGUAAGAAAGGAAUUGCCUACAUUAACAAAACUAUUGCAUGAAAUGCGAAAUGAGAUAGAUUAUAAAGGGAGCCGCACCACUUUGUGGAGAAUUAUAAAAAGUAUGGGAUUUUAUUUCAAAAAAUGCAAAUCCAAGAGAAAGGUUUUGAUGGAACGAUACGACAUUGUUGCCUGGCGUCAUCGCUACCUGGAAGAAUUAAGAAAAAAUCGUCUUGAAACCCAGCGGCCAGUUGUAUAUCUAUACGAGACAUACAUACAUGCCACAUAUUACGCUGGAAAAUGUUGGCAUAUAUCGAUAUUGAGACAUACAUCUGCUUCAUAGCAGAUGUAAUGUUAGAAGAGAAUGGCCAUAAAGUAUUUAGACUUCCGCCUUAUCAUUGUGAUUUAAAUCCAAUUGAGCUUAUAUGGAGUGUGUUAAGAACACGAGUUGCUGAAAAAAACAUUGGCCAAGAAGCUAAUAAAAUAGUGCAAAUGACUGAGGAAGCAUUUGCAACUAUUACUGCAGAGGAAUGGAACAAAGAAUGCGAGCACGUCAUAAAAAUAGAAGACCAAUACUACGGCGACAGCCCAGUAAUAGAUAGCGAAACGGAAAGAUUCAUAAUCGAAGUAGGCCAAGAUACUGAUACUUCUGAUGAUAGCGAUGCUGCGGAUAAUAAUAUGUCAGAUGUAGAUGAACAUAAUUAUUGUAAAAAAUUAUGAAAAUAAACAUUUUUAGAUUAAAA